AGCUGCAGAGCCAGCACCUGGAGUGCCCUGGUGUUGUGCUUAUCACUCUCCAGGUGAGAGGCACAACUCUGUCUGCAAAAUGGCACACCAGAAAGCAGGACCCACAAAAAGGGAGCAGCAGAUAUGGAAUCAAUGACUUCCCACACUCAGUCCUUGCAGGACCCUGAAGCGGACAAGGCAAAAGAUUUGUUUGCAAGCAUAGCAAAGGAAACAACAGGGAAGAGAUGCAGAACAGAGACCCCACCCUAACUGAGCAUUUUCCUGCAGGAGUUCCUGGUAAAACCAGCAGAGCACAGAAAGCACUACUGGAUUAGGGACUGCUUAAACUGGUGCUGCUUCUCAGAAGAGAAGGAGUCCUGGUUGUUCCUCUCCUCCCUAAGGGUGCACUUGGCGGUGGAACGAUAAUGCAAAAUGAGACCUUGAACUUUGAAAAGGGCCAACUGCAGCUGGAAGCGAGAACCUGCUGGAGCUCAU